rnacentral:rRNA from 1 species
AUUGAACGCCGGCGGCUGGCCUAACACAUGCAAGUCGAGCGGAGCGGCGGACGGGUGAGUAAUGCCUAGGAAUCUGCCUGGUAGUGGGGGAUAACGUCCGGAAACGGGCGCUAAUACCGCAUACUAUCAGAUGAGCCUAGGUCGGAUUAGCUAGUUGGUGGGGUAAAGGCCUACCAAGGCGACGAUCCGUAACUGGUCUGAGAGGAUGAUCAGUCACCAUGGAACUGGGAGACGGUCCAGGAUCCUACGGGAGGCAGCAGUGGGGAAGAUUUGACCAUGGGCGAAAGCCUGAUCCAGCCAUGCCGCGUGUGUGAAGAAGGUCUUCGGAUUGUAAAGCACUUUCAGCGAGGAGGCGUUACUCGCAGAAGAAGCACCGGCUAACUCCGUGCCAGCAGCCGCGGUAAUAC